CCCGGGGUUGGUGGAUCGGAGAAGGAGCGAAGAUGGCGGAGUGAGGCGUUUCCCGGGCAGCUGGCCUCCGGGCCCGGGGCGGGCCUCCCGCUUGAGGUGGAGUACUUGUGCUGGACCGCGUGAGAAACCUUAGCACAUAGGAUGAAUAUUUUCGUGACCGUAGGUGCUUUUAUAUUCAGCUCAGAAUUCUGAACUCAGGAUAUAGCAAGAGUUUCUAUGUUGUCUUCUCAGUCGGCAUCCUGGUUCUUUCAUCCAGCCACUUCCCUAGUGGAGUGCGGAUGUUUUCUACAGAUACCUCCGUGGUUUGGAAUGGAGACUGCACCAAGAAGCCCAAGGGUGCAGCUGUCCUGCUGACUUCAAGAGGACACCGACCGGCCUGGCUAUUCUGUUGCACUUGGCUUCAGUAGAAAGACACCGUUUGCAAGUGGAAGGAAGAUGGUUAAUUUGAACAGGUGCUUAGGUUAUGCAUCGUGGACUCUUCCUUUUAAAGCUCCAAACAACAAAUCAAAUACCAAAUGUGGGUGACUUCAGGUUUUGUUUUGUUUUGUUUUUUUUAAGUCUGCCAGUUUUAACACUAUUAUAAGCACAGUAAAGACUAAUAGUAAAUUCCAAAUAUCAUUAUUAUUUGAGGUGAAAGAAACAUCUAAAUCCUGAUUUACCCUUUGACAGAUUUCCUGAACGAAAACAAGUCUCCAGUAUGAUAAAAGCAAAAGGCAAGAAUGAUAUCAGGGUUGGUUUCAUAUGGGAGUGAAACCAUUGCAGUUUGUGUGCAGAUUCACAUUUUUAUGUGUAUAAAACCACAUUUUUUAAAUAAGAUUUUUCUCCUGGAAAAGGAAGCUGUCAUUUAUGAAAAGGCGUUGGACAGUUUGAUGGUCUUUAGUGUUUGGAUUUUGUCUGUUUUGCUUUUUCAUCCUUCUCAGGAAGGACCAGCUGGGCCUGCGGCUAGUUCCGAGUGGGAAGAGAAUAAGCUGGGGUGAUGCUUGCCUCAGGCUGUCUGUGCUUGGGUGGCUGAGGCAGCAAGAUCAGAAGUCCAGGUCCAGCUUGGGCCACAUGGAGAGACUCCAUCUCAAGAACAGCAGAAAAGAAAAAUAAAACACCACUCUUUUGUUUCUCGAGGUUGUAUUCUUGUGGGAUCACAUGUAUCAAUGAGACUUUGGUUUUCCAUGUGACUGUGACUGGAAAGAAAAUGGCAUGUGUGUUAUGUGAUGGACCUGGAUAGUGUCACUUGCCUUCAACUUGGGGUAUUCAGGAGUGAAGGAAAAAUAACUCGGCUUAUAAAUCCUUUCUUCUAAGAAAAAGAAGCAACAAUGUCUUAUGUAGCAUCAUCUGACAUUUCAGCAUUUUUAAAUUAUGUACUUGCAUUUUUAUAAAAGCAUAAAUAACUUUUCCUUCAUCCCAAGAUGGGUACUUAGACAUUUAUUUUUCUAGGCGAUAACUUUAGGCUGAAAUUCUGGGACUCAGGUAAAUUUUCCCAGUUUGAAUUGAACUUUCUUACCAGAAAAUGGACCUCAGAAGCAAUGUUUCCAGUCCUAUGGUCAGUUCACUAUAUUCUUAGAAGAAAUUCAGGAUCUGAACAAAACUUCAAAUAAAAGCAGGUCCAAUAAAAAGUAUGGAUCUUGUUGCCAGUCACUGUAGAUUUAAAGGAAAUUCAGGUUCGGGGAUGGAGAGACCUCAAGAAAACUAGUUCCCAUAAGAAAUGAUACAUGUUUGUUUUUUCCUUUAACUAACAGUUAUGAGGAACCAUCAUGAAAACUUCUCUUUGCUUCCAAAUCAAAGAAGUCCAUUUUAUGGGAUGCCAGGCUUUUACAAGGGAGGGAACUGUUGUUUGCAGUGGUUGCCAGUAGAGAAGGAAUUUUAAACUUGCAAGAUAACUUAGAAACAGGUGCUGUUAGAGCUGAUUUCUGGAACCAUUUCUCAGUGUUGUGAAUUUGAGUCAUAGAAAUGAUCAAAAGUAGGAAAUGUUGAACAAUCUAAUGGCUAGUCAAAUUGGACAACAAAUUUGAAUUUAUACUGAAAGCUUUUUCAUAAAACACUUAUUAUAAAUAACUUUUUUCUUUUAGUUUUUUGAAUCAGGGUUUCUGUGUAGCUUUGGAGCCUGUCCUGGAACUAGCUCUGUAGACCAGGCUGGUCUCGAACUCACAGAGAUCCACCUGCCCCUGCCUCCCGAGUGCUGAGAUUAAAGGCCUGCGUCACCACCACCCAGUUUAUAAAUAACUUUUUAGUGAGAUCAAACAAUGAUAAAGCUCUAGAGAAAAGAGUUAAAGGUAACCUAGAUUGCUGGACUUGGUAUCCCGCACCUUUGAGCCACAGUAUUUUGGGUGUUGAGGCAGGAGGAUUGGCCACAAGAUCAAGGCCAGCCUCAAUGACAGACCCGGUAUAAAAAUGAAGCAAAAAUAUAACCUCAAUUUUUCUCUUUAAGUACUCCAGCCACUUAUGUUUUCAUUUAGAAGAAAUGGAAGCCAGCUGGUGACUGAGAGCAUCUCACAGAUGCCUGAUUCCUCCUACACCUUGCUUUUGGGCAACUUUGUGGGGUAAGGCCCACAGGCAGGGCUUUCACCACAAAGGCGAUGUCACCUUUGCUCCAGAUGCUUCAGGUUUGUAGCCUAAACCUCCAAAUGUUGAGUGCACUUUGUCAAAGAUGCUCUUGUGUCCUGCAUUGUUAGCACCAGAUGGCAUUUUCAGCCUGGGGACAUUGCAGCUGUAGUUACCUGGUGUGUGGUACAUUUCCAUUUUAUAGUCUUGCUUGGGUUUUCUUAAUAGCAGCAAAAACUACCAUUUUAGAGCUGUGCUUCCAUCUGUAGCCAUGCCUCCUCCCUUCUCCAUGUGAGCUGGCAGUUUUUCUUUUGGAGUUACUAAACAAAAACGGGAUAUGUGCAAUAUAAAUAUAUAUAUAUAUAUAUGUGUAUAUUUUAAUACUUGUGGACGAGUGUUACAAGUCGUUAAAGAACAACAAAAUCACCAAUGUCUUCCAUUUUGAGAUGUGUAUAGUUUUGUAAGCAGUAGUGUUUGGUAGCAUAUUGUAGUGCCAUGUUAGGGGUUAGUGCAUGAAUUUAGUAUCAUUUUUAAACUUCAGGAUGAAAUAUUGAUAAUAGCUAAUAGUGUAAAAAGAGUGGAAAAUCCUAGACCUUUGCUUUUCCCAUGUAUGAAAAUAAUGUAUUUUCCCUGGGGAUAGGAGAUAAAGGCCAAAACAACUAAUGUCUGAACAGAAAUGUGGGUUCACAUUGAAAAACAUUGUGCGCGGGGAAAUGUUAGCCUUUCACGAGGUAUCUAGAAAUAACUGCCUUUGUAGCUUUUCAGUCCUCAAAGCAUGGCCUCAUCCCAUGAUUGUCUUGCUCUCUCAGUUUGAAGCUAGCUUGUUCUUAUAUUAUCGUCGUAUUGUAUGUCUUGGAUUCAUUUUCCCUAUUUUGUGUCCAGAGAAUUAUUUUCUACUUCGCAUGUCCAAGAUGCUGUGCUAAUUGCUUUGGAAUGAUUAAUUUGUGGCCGUUUCCUUUCCUGUUUGCAGCAUGUGUGCUAAUUGCAGAACCUUGUCAGCAGUUUGGAGUAUCCUGAACUUUAGGCUUUUUUUCUACUUUCCUUAUGGAAAUAAAGUAGUUGCUUUGUUUUGAAAAAGAAAGUUCUCUGUAAAAUGGAAUUCCUACCUCUAAAAGCUGCCUAGGAAACUUGGAAGUAACAGUUUUAUGAGUGUCGAGGGUUCUUUUUGGGGGGGAGGGGUGUGGUUAUUUUAACUUUAGAAUUAGAGUCCCGCCAGGUGUGGUGGUGCAUGCCUGUAAUCCCAGCAUUUGGGACACGGAGGCAAGAUCAGGGGUUCAAGGUAAUCCUUUGCUACAUAGUGAGCUGGAGUUCAGCCUGAGCUACAUGAGAUCCUAUCUCAGAAAACCAAAAGAAGGAAAGAAAAGAGAACCUAGGACUUAUUAAUUGUAUUAUAUUGGUAUGAUAGAAAACGUAAAACUUUUUAAUGGGACUUUUUUUCCCCACACAAACUAGGUAUGAAUCUAGUAUUACCUAUCCAGGGACCCAGGAAUAGAUCCUUGUAGAAUAUCAAGUGGUGGUUAGCUUUUGAAAACCAUUUAAAUUUAAGAAACGGGAGGGGGGGGUGUCUUGAAAAAUUAAUGCAUAUAGAGUAGCACAGUAUAUAGGAAAGAAUAUUUCCUAUUGCAAAAAAUAAAAGCCAUAAAUGAACUAAAAAUGUUGAAGAGUUGGAACUUAGUAGCAAUAACAGUUUUGCGUGUAUAGUAAAUUGUGUUCACAAAGCUGCAUGAUUGAGUGAUUAAUAUUUGAGUUUGUGAGCCUCUGCAGUCUUACAGAGUCCACAAAAGGAAAAAAGUCCUAGGUUUAAAAGCAUUUAAACUAUGAAUAUAUGUAUAUGAAUAUAUUUGCGUGAAAAAUAUCAACUUUCAUGUGCGUUAAAGACAGUUUUCCCAGAGUUUACAUCUAGUGCUUAAUCUGGAAGCAGAUGUGCUUCUCCAGUCCCAAUGAAACCACCUUCAUUAACAGUCACUUACUGUGUGGGAUGACGUAUGCUUUGUAACAUUUGUUCAUUGCAUUCCUAGCUGCUCUAUCAAAAAGAAAAGUUUGUUUUUGUGUGGUUGGGGGAGGGGGGCAGAGUGGAGCGCUUCCAGAACUUGCUGGCUUUUCUUUGUACUUGGGAUCAAGGAAGUUAGGAAUUAAAGGUAAACAAAAUGGCUGGGCAGUCCCCAGACUGGAUUUAUCUGUAUGUCUUAUAUAUGUAUGUGAUGAAGCUAUGGCCUGUGUGCGACUGCAUAUUUUUUAACAAGGAAAACCCAGCAAACUCAUUCUUUCUUGAUUUGAGGACUCCCACAGCUCACAUCAAGACGUAAGAGUGGAACUGGGCUGACUCCUCCCUUCCUUUACCUCAUGUCCAUUGUGGCCACUUGAACAUCUGAAAAGAUCUAGGACUGGGUUCCUUUGUUUUCCCAGGGGAAAAAAGUAAAGGAGUAGUUUUGUAGAUCUCAGACUCUAAUGAAUUAUUUUAUUACAAGCCUAAGGGUAGGGGAAAAGGCUAUACUGAGCAUAGUUUCUCUUUAAAUGUCCUGUACUGUCCAUGUUAGGUUAUGGGACAACCAAGCAAUAUUAAGACAGCUGCAUGAUCAUGGAGACAUGGCUUCAUUCAGUUACAUCAGAGAUUACCCUUAACAGCCAUGUUCUAAGUGUAAAACUAUGUUACGAGAUUUUGUCGUCUCAAAGAAUGUGGUUAAUUAGUAUUCAAUCUUCCUAUAGUCUCUUGUUUACUCUUUAUGUACCUGUGAUAUGCAAAAUAUGAAGAGACCCCCCUAGCCUUCAGGAGUUUACAUUCUCAUGGUGCUGUAGGUGCAAGCAAACUGUCUCUAAUUUAUUUAGAACAUCGCUUGGCUAUUAAUUAUACCAUUUUGGAAGAACCCCUUGGCCAAGAGUUUUAAAAUGCAGAGGGCUAUGCUAAAUUUCAGGGCAUUACUGCUUGAGUUUACAUUGUUGUAACUCUGCUCCUAACUUUCCCCGGGGAGCUGUUCAUUAAUGUGAAUCAGAAAAGAAACCAUUCUGCCUAAGUAUCCUCACUACCCCUAUAGCUCUCAGUAAGUGGUCAACAAAACUUUCUGCUCUGUAUAGACAGUCACCUCGGUUCUUUUUCCCAGGGCUUUAAACUUAUUCUUUACCCUCAAAGGGCCAGGAUUUCUAGCUAAGCCUUUUAGAACUGAAUAGAAGUCUUAAGUUUAGUCUUUUUGUAUAUGACUUGUUUCUGUUUUAAAGCAGCAUUGUAGUAGAUGUAGUACCUGACUGCAUCUCUGAGGAAUUUGACUGACAUAUUCAGUUGAAGUUUUGCAUGUAUCAUUGCUUUUCCCACAGUUCUGAAUCAAAGGGUUUGCAUGUUUAUUAAAGCCAGGCCUGGUCAAAAGUAUAAGCAAUAGUAGCAGGCCCAUAACUGAUUUUAGAAUGCUAGCAUUCUAAUGCAUGGUUGAAGUUUUUCAUUUUUAGGUAGUUACUAGCAAUUUUCUACAUGCGUUUAUCAAUAAUGAAGCAAUAGAUUCUUAAACCAAUAGCUUGGUUUUAUUUGAAUUAUUUUCUAAUUAUAGAUUGUCUUCCCUUGAAAAAUGGGAAGUACAAGAUAAAUAAGGGGCAAUCUUAAGACAUUCAAACUGUUAGGAAUACAGCAAGCAGUGCUCACUGUUUCCUAGCUCUAUUUAUUCCCAAGCAUGUUUGCAAAUAAAAGAUAAACUGAGCAUGUUGAAUAAGAUGCUAUAAACAGGAUGGUGCAGGCUUUUAGAAGAGUCGGGAAAUAACCUAAAUAGGGUCACCUUACUUCAGAAAUAAGUGUUCAGUGUGCAAAACAACUAGCUGUGGGACUUGUCUGAUUAGGUUUAUAUAGACUUAGUUUGGUGUUUCUUAAAACUAUAGAUUAAGCCAGACAUAUGCUCUGUAGUCCCUGAACAGGCAGAAGCCAGCCUGAGUGCCAUAGCUGGACUCCUUCACAAAUUAGUAUCUUGGAGGUGUAUAGUAUCAGUGUGCACAUACUUGCAUUUUUCAGCAGUGAGGCGUCUGUUCUGGAAGGGACCCAGCACUAAGAGGGACUCCAGAGUUACAGAAGUACUGCCAUUCCUGUAUCUGCAACUGUUGAGCUAGAGUUUUACUUUAGAUGAGUUGGUCAACGUGUGGAUCUUGCCUAAAACUUUUGGUUCCUGAUGAGCAGGAAAAGUUUCUCUUCUUCCAAAAAAAGACAUUUAUGGGUGAAAAGACAUUGGUUUGUGAUAGCAGUAAAAGGAGCAGAAGUGUGAACUGGUGGGAGAGCAUCUACCUGAGAAAAUGGGUUCAGUUGCCAGCACUACCAAAAACCAUGGUGGUCACAUAAGAAUUUCUUAGAUUUCUUGACUUGGGAAUGAUCCAAGUAACAAAUAGUUUUGACAAAUAAUGAGUAUUUAUAAUGUGUGAAAGACCUAAAUUAAAAUAAAACUGUUUCACUGAGUUUACUCCAAUUUACAUGUUCUAUGAUGGAAAUUUACUUUAACGUGUGCUGUGGUGCUUUGCUAUGGAUGUCACCUAGGAUGGUAAUUUCCAUCAUUCAGAACUGGAUUAGAGUUGUCAGUGUGGUGUUUGCCUCCCACCAGAAUACAAGAAUUGAGGUGUGUAAUGUGUCCCGAAUAGAAAUGUUCUUUGCACUUACUGAUAUAUCUGCCGGCCAGUAAAGAUGUAAGGUCAGAGUUUUUAAUUCUAACACUCUUCCUAAUAGUCCACUAAAAUAAAUUAAAACAUCACACAGGAAAAUUAACUGUGUAUUUGGUAGAGCUCAGACUUAUAAACACCUUUAAAGUCAGACUAUGGGUAUGAUUACUGAUGAUUUACAAAACAGUUUUGAUACCUUUGGUAAUGGUGUUCUGUGUCCUUAAUUUAAAUGUGGUUUUGUUUUGUUUUUUGCAUUGGAUAUAGCUCUUGAACACUGGGGCCAGUCCUCAGCACUGAUACCUUAUCCCAAGGAUCAGACAGAUACUCUGUCAGCAUGUUACUAGUCUGGGCAUUAACCAUAAACCACCCAUCCCUAUAAUUAAAAAGGAUUAAGAAUACUCAAGUAAUCUACUGGAGAGUGAUGCAUCUGCCCUUCAGGCACAGGUGUUGCUGUUCGCUCGCUCUUCCAUGUGCCGUACCCCCAUUGCUCCACUGGUGUGUGAGGCGAUGUGGAAAGAGCUGCCCUUCAAAAGGCAGCUUCUCAAUCUAUGCAUCCUUGGGAGUUGUGAACAAAUCUUGACUCUUUGGAAAAGGAACUGUUGUGAGUGUGAAACUGCACCUGUAUGUAUAUGUUUUUAGCAAUAAAGCAUGAGCUGAGAAUGCA